rnacentral:rRNA from 1 species
AUUGAACGCUGGCGGCAGGCCUAACACAUGCAAGUCGAGCGGAUGAAGGGAGCUUGCUCCUGGAUUCAGCGGCGGACGGGUGAGUAAUGCCUAGGAAUCUGCCUGGUAGUGGGGGAUAACGUCCGGAAACGGGCGCUAAUACCGCAUACGUCCUGAGGGAGAAAGUGGGGGAUCUUCGGACCUCACGCUAUCAGAUGAGCCUAGGUCGGAUUAGCUAGUUGGUGGGGUAAAGGCCUACCAAGGCGACGAUCCGUAACUGGUCUGAGAGGAUGAUCAGUCACACUGGAACUGAGACACGGUCCAGACUCCUACGGGAGGCAGCAGUGGGGAAUAUUGGACGAUGGGCGAAAGCCUGAUCCAGCCAUGCCGCGUGUGUGAAGAAGGUCUUCGGAUUGUAAAGCACUUUAAGUUGGGAGGAAGGGCAGUAAGUUAAUACCUUGCUGUUUUGACGUUACCAACAUAAUAAGCACCGGCUAACUUCGUG